GGAAGAAAGGGGGCGGAGCCUGGCUACUGAGCUACACAGACGUGUGCUGCAUGAGCUCCUAUGGCCGGCACACUAAACUCGAUGAAUACUCGAACCAGUUGCUUACCGGGCUGCAAAGCUACAUCAAACUUUGUUCCUGACAUGUCAGCGGUUCCGGGGAUAGCGCUUGCUGGACUCUCCUACACUGGCAAAUCCCCCUUGAGGCUUUGCGGCCUACCAGUAACCGGACCGUGGAGAGACGGCUCUCCUACGGCCUCAACUGGCGGUAACAAUCGACUACUGUUGUCCCCCACGGACCGGCGGGGGUUAUCCCGGUCCUCCCUGGCAAGCAUGACACAACCGGGCAGCCGGCGCCUGCUGCAUGCCACCAGCAACCACAAGAACCAUGGGCGCCCAAAAUGGCGGACAAAUACAGCUCACUCAACACAACGUACUCCAUGGAGGGGACGCUCCAAUACCUGGACAAACUGUGGGCCAAGCUAGCAAAGCGGGUGACAAGCACACAGUGACUGCCUCAAAGAGGAGUCCAGCAGGGCACUGGCCAAGGAAUGGAAGGCCCACAAGUCGGCGCAAAACGCACCCGGCUCGCUGACAAAUCCAAGCCCAAUGCGCACAGACCAGGGGCCUCAGGAGUAUCCACCCCGCAGUGUUCACCACACAGACGGAGAAUAACCCGCCAUAGGCAGCGACCAAGCACCAGCACCAGACUCCCUCCUUUCCUCCUGCAUGGCGCUCGGUUAGCUGGGAGGAAGUGACGGCUUCUUCCCAGCUCUGAUUGGGCCUUAGGAAAAUCCAUUGCCGUCGGUUGAUCCCAAGAGCAUGUGCUGUUCCGCACCACAAUGCCGGUGGGCACCCUGAUCACAUGGGUUGACAGGGCGGCCGGGCCCCCCGAAUGACCAGGGAGCCCGGUUGCACCUGCGACUGCGGUAGUUCCACCACUGGCUCUAAUCCAUACCUCCAAUCUCCUUUCAUUAUCAAUUUUCACUUCUAAAUAGCUUUUGUUAAAGUCAUUAACUUAGGGUUCACAUACUUUUUCAAACCUAUACUGUGAGUAUUUAAAUGAUAUAUUCUUUGUGUGCAAGAACAAUACAAUACUUUGCUACCCACCCUGGGCAUCACCAAUGUGCAACUGGAACCUAGAGGCCCAACUGACUCAGUGGACAGGUCUAAUUCGGAGAACUGAACGUAUGCCAUUGCUUAUCGCUUUCGAGUUUUCACCAAGAUUUUUUUAAAUAAUCCUAGCCAAUUUUCUAAUAAAUUGCCUAUUAUAUCACUGGUUGUCCGACUUGGGAAGAUUCCUACUUUGCAUAGAUGCCAUUUAGCUUUCCAUCAAUGACUAAAUACAAACACAGGACAUCUGUGGUCAAUGCCCUCUGUCAGUCAUAUGGCGCCACGUCUUGAGCGUGACUCUCUUAAUAACUGUCUAGUCACUUACAGACUGUCUCCCAGCCAUCACACUCCAGGAAGUGCCGAUGAUCACUAAAGCCAACUGCGAGGGCAAGUUGAGAAAUGGAUAUCGGUACUCUACACCAAAUCCUUACAGGGCAUACUACUUUGGAGAAAAUCAGGUCUGACACCUAUCCCACACUGCCUGAGGCCUAUACUGACCCACCAGUUCCAUCCCCUUCUAUACCACAUACCUACAUCGCAAGUGCAGAAUCUGCAAUGACAUCAGACGCUUGUUGAUAAAAGCGGAGGUACAGAUGGUCACUAACCAGUUAAAGUAAACGAAAAAGACAAAUUAGAUCUCCGUCGGGGUGUGUUAUCUGUACAAGAAACACUAAUACAAAUCCAAACCCAACAACACAAUCUCACUGUGCUAGUGGAGGUAACAGAAGAUUAUAAAAAUAUCAACAUCACUAGAUAGUGCAUACCUUAUCAACAAAUCUAUGUCAGCACAUACUACAGUCCCUAGAGACAGUGGCGUACAUACCAGGGUCGCGACUGCGACCGGGCCCGGCCGCCCCUGCGACCCGGUAUGUACCCACAGGGCCAGCCUCUUCUCCUCAAUGCUUUCCUAUGGACGUUCAGUGUCUUCUCACUGUGAUUUUCACAGUGAGAAUCGCAGAAUCUCUAGCGGCUGUCAGUGAGACAGCCACCAGAGGCUGGAUUAACCCUCAGUGAAACAUAGCCGUUUCUCUGAAACAGCUAUGUUUUCAGCUGCAGGGUUAAAACUAGAGGGACCUGGCACCCAGACCACUUCAUUGAGCUGAUGUGAUCUGGGUGUCUGUAGUGGUCCUUUAGGUGUGUGUGCAGCAUACCGCGGUCGCGGGGUCGCAGCCCUGCGACCAGGUGCCCACCGCCAUGUGUUGCGGCCCCGACCCGCGCCAAGUAAGCGCGCGGGGGGGGGGGCCCACGGAUCAGUUUUUGCACCGGGGCCCCAUGGGUCAUGUGUACACCACUGCCUAGAGAUGUAAUUGUUGGGUACCAAUCUCAUUUGGAUAAGAGCUGGAUAAUGUGUGUAUUGCAAGGGAAGAAUCCACUAACCUUCAACUCUCACCAACUUAUCUUCUACAAUGAUUUCACUCAAUUCACCUUGAAGUGGAGAAAGUCUAUGCAUUCCAUCACCUUGCAGUUUGGAUCCAUUUGGUUGUAAUAUCGCUGGUCUUCCCCAAUAAUGCGGUCACUAAAGAAGGGGGCAAUCUAGUAGUUAAUCUCGCCCACGGUGGCCCUAGGCAUCUUGUGCAUCACCAAAGUGCAACUGAAAACUAGAGGUCCAACUCACUCAUGGGAUGUCUGAUCAGUUCCUUUUGUCCCUCGUACAGAAGCAGAUGUUGACUAAGAAUGCUGGAAAGCUUUCUUUCAUGGCAAUGCCACAUUGCAGUGUUCUGAGAUAUUUUUUAAAAUGUUUUUAUUUCUACACUUUUUGUUUGCUUUACUUUUAAAUCAUACUGUGGUUUGGGCAUUAGUAUUUAACUCUCCCAAGAGAUCUAGUUUUUUUUUCCCCCCACACAGCCUUGCACAAAAUGGGUUGUUACAUCAAAAUGCAGCAAAGCAAGAGAUAUCAGUACUACUUUGGUAAUGUAGCUAAAAGAAACAACAUAGCAUACGAUGCCACCAGCCCAGGUCAAACACAUUAACCAUACACAAUUUGUCACACCUCUCAGACGUGUAUACUAUUUGCCAGCUUUUCGAGCCACAUUAAAUAUACAUUAAAAAUUGAAAUGUAUAUAUUUAGUUCAUGUUAUAUAGACUUUGUGUAGGAUGCAUACUAAAUGCACAUUUGAUGUGUAAAUUAAUUUGUGUGUGUGCGUGU
rnacentral:lncRNA from 1 species